AGUAGUCUAAUUGGUAUAGCUGAA
rnacentral:miRNA from 1 species